AUUGAACGCUGGCGGCAGGCCUAACACAUGCAAGUCGAACGAGUGGCGGACGGGUGAGUAAUGUCUGGGAAACUGCCCGAUGGAGGGGGAUAACUACUGGAAACGGUAGCUAAUACCGCAUACCAUCAGAUGUGCCCAUAUGGGAUUAGCUGGUGGGUGGGGUAACGGCUCACCUAGGCGACGAUCCCUAGCUGGUCUGAGAGGAUGACCAGCCACACUGGAACUGAGACACGGUCCAGACUCCUACGGGAGGCAGCAGUGGGGAAUAUUGCACAAUGGGCGCAAGCCUGAUGCAGCCAUGCCGCGUGUAUGAAGAAGGCCUUCGGGUUGUAAAGUACUUUCAGCGGGGAGGCGUUACCCGCAGAAGAAGCACCGGCUAACUCCGUGCCAGCCGCCGCGGUAAUUC
rnacentral:rRNA from 1 species